rnacentral:rRNA from 1 species
UACGUAGGGACCAAGCGUUGUCCGGAAUCAUUGGGCGUAAAGAGCGUGUAGGCGGCUUGUUAAGUCUUGCGUGAAAUCUCGGGGCUCAACCCCGAGCGGUCGUGGGAAACUGGGUGGCUAGAGUGCGGGAGAGGAGAGUGGAAUUCCUGGUGUAGCGGUGGAAUGCGCAGAUAUCAGGAAGAACACCCGUGGCGAAGGCGGCUCUCUGGAACGCAACUGACGCUGAGACGCGAAAGCGUGGGGAGCAAACAGG